rnacentral:rRNA from 1 species
AUGCUGGAGGUAUCAGAAGUGCGAAUGCUGACAUAAGUAACGAUAAUGCGGGUGAAAAACCCGCACGCCGGAAGACCAAGGGUUCCUGUCCAACGUUAAUCGGGGCAGGGUGAGUCGACCCCUAAGGCGAGGCAGAAAUGCGUAGUCGAUGGGAAACGGGUUAAUAUUCCCGUACUGGUGAUAAUUGCGAUGGGGGGACGGAGAAGGCUAGGCUAUCCGGGCGACGGUUGUCCCGGUUUAAGGAUGUAGGCAGGUGAAUUAGGCAAAUCCGGUUCACUACAUGCUGAGGUCCGAUGACGAGUCACUACGGUGAUGAAGUAGCUCAUGCCCCGCUUCCAGGAAAAGCCUCUAAGCUCUAGAUUAUCAUUAAUCGUACCCCAAACCGACACAGGUGGUCAGGUAGAGAAUACUCAGGCGCUUGAGAGAACUCGGGUGAAGGAACUAGGCAAAAUGGUGCCGUAACUUCGGGAGAAGGCACGCUGGCGCUAGGUGAAGUCCCUCGCGGAUGGAGCUGAAGCCAGUCGCAGAUACCAGCUGGCUGCAACUGUUUAUUAAAAACACAGCACUGUGCAAACACGAAAGUGGACGUAUACGGUGUGACGCCUGCCCGGUGCUGGAAGGUUAAUUGAUGGGGUUAUCCGUAAGGAGAAGCUCUUGAUCGAAGCCCCAGUAAACGGCGGCCGUAACUAUAACGGUCCUAAGGUAGCGAAAUUCCUUGUCGGGUAAGUUCCGACCUGCACGAAUGGCGUAAUGAUGGCCAGGCUGUCUCCACCCGAGACUCAGUGAAAUUGAACUCGCUGUGAAGAUGCAGUGUACCCGCGGCAAGACGGAAAGACCCCGUGAACCUUUACUAUAGCUUGACACUGAACAUUGAGCCUUGAUGUGUAGGAUAGGUGGGAGGCUUUGAAGUGUGGACGCCAGUCUGCAUGGAGCCAACCUUGAAAUACCACCCUUUAAUGUUUGAUGUUCUAACGUAGCCCCGUUAUCCGGGGUGCGGACAGUGUCUGGUGGGUAGUUUGACUGGGGCGGUCUCCUCCCAAAGAGUAACGGAGGAGCACGAAGGUUGGCUAAGCAUGGUCGGACAUCAUGCGGUUAGUGCAAAGGCAUAAGCCAGCUUGACUGCGAGAGUGACGGCUCGAGCAGGUACGAAAGUAGGUCUUAGUGAUCCGGUGGUUCUGAAUGGAAGGGCCAUCGCUCAACGGAUAAAAGGUACUCCGGGGAUAACAGGCUGAUACCGCCCAAGAGUUCAUAUCGACGGCGGUGUUUGGCACCUCGAUGUCGGCUCAUCACAUCCUGGGGCUGAAGUAGGUCCCAAGGGUACGGCUGUUCGCCGUUUAAAGUGGUACGCGAGCUGGGUUUAGAACGUCGUGAGACAGUUCGGUCCCUAUCUGCCGUGGGCGUUGGAAGAUUGAAAGGGGCUGCUCCUAGUACGAGAGGACCGGAGUGGACGCACCACUGGUGUUCGGGUUGUCAUGCCAAUGGCAUUGCCCGGUAGCUAAGUGCGGAAGAGAUAACCGCUGAAAGCAUCUAAGCGGGAAACUUGCCUUGAGAUGAGUCUUCCCUGACUCUUUAAGGGUCCUAAAGGAACGUUUAAGACUAAGACGUUGAUAGGUUGGGUGUGUAAGCGUAGCGAUACGUUGAGCUAACCAAUACUAAUGAACCGUGAGGCUUAACCUG